GGACUUGAGACCGGCGCACGGGUGCGUAACGCGUAUGCAAUCUACCUUAUACAGGGGAAUAGCCCAGAGAAAUUUGGAUUAAUGCCCCAUAGUAUUAUUGAAUGGCAUCAUUUGAUAAUUAAAGUUCCAACGGUAUAAGAUGAGCAUGCGUCCCAUUAGUUAGUUGGUAAGGUAACGGCUUACCAAGACAAUGAUGGGUAGGGGUCCUGAGAGGGAGAUCCCCCACACUGGUACUGAGACACGGACCAGACUCCUACGGGAGGCAGCAGUGAGGAAUAUUGGUCAAUGGGCGCAAGCCUGAACCAGCCAUGCCGCGUGCAGGAAGAAGCAUCUAUGGUGUGUAAACUGCUUUUAUACAGGAAGAAACAUCCCGACGUGUCGGGACUUGACGGUACUGUAGGAAUAAGGAUCGGCUAACUCCGUGCCAGCAGCCGCGGUAAUACGGAGGAUCCAAGCGUUAUCCGGAAUCAUUGGGUUUAAAGGGUCCGUAGGCGGCCUUAUAAGUCAGUGGUGAAAUCUCCUAGCUCAACUAGGAAACUGCCAUUGAUACUGUAAGGCUUGAAUUUUUGUGAAGUAACUAGAAUAUGUAGUGUAGCGGUGAAAUGCUUAGAUAUUACAUGGAAUACCAAUUGCGAAGGCAGGUUACUAACAAACGAUUGACGCUGAUGGACGAAAGCGUGGGGAGCGAACAGGAUUAGAU
rnacentral:rRNA from 1 species